AAAGUCUGACGCAGCAACGCCGCGUGAGUGGAUGACGGCCUUCGGGUUGUAAACCUCUGUUUGAGUGGGAAGAAAAGCUUUGUGGUUAAUAUCCACAGAGUCUGACGGUACCACUCGAGGAAGCUCCGGCUAACUACGUGCCAGCAGCCGCGGUAAUACGUAGGGGGCUAGCGUUGUUCGGAAUCACUGGGCGUAAAGGGAGUGUAGGCGGACCGGUAAGUUAGGAGUUAAAUGUACGGGCUCAACCCCGUGAUCUGCUUUUAAUACCUGUCGGUCUUGAGUAUGGAAGAGGGAGAUGGAAUUCCAGGUGUAACGGUGGAAUGCGUAGAUAUCUGGAAGAACACCAGUUGCGAAGGCGGUCUCCUGGACCAAUACUGACGCUGAUGCUCGAAAGCUGGGGGAGCGAACAGGAUUAGAUACCCUGGUAGUCCCAGCCGUAAACGAUGGACACUAGUUGCCGGAGGAGUCAAUCCCUUCGGUGACGAAGCUAACGCAUUAAGUGUCCCGCCUGGGGAGUACGCUCGCAAGGGUGAAACUCGAAGGAAUUGACGGGGGCCCGCACAAGCGGUGGAGCAUGUGCUUUAAUUCGAUGCAACGCGAAGAACCUUACCUGGGUUUGACAUGGGGGUGAAAGUUUCCAGAGAUGGAAGCCUUUCCUUCGGGAACACCCCACACAGGUGCUGCAUGGUUGUCGUCAGCUCGUGUCGUGAGAUGUUGGGUUAAGUCCCGCAACGAGCGCAACCCCUGCCCUUAGUUGCCAUCAGGUAAAGCUGGGAACUCUAAGGGGACAGCUUGGUAUAACCAGGAGGAAGGUGGGGAUGACGUCAAAUCAUCAUGGCUCUUACGCCCAGGGCUAGACACGUGCUACAAUGGCAGGUACAGUGGGAUGCCAGCCUGCGAAGGUGAGCUAAUCCCUUAAAACCUGUCUCAGUCCGGAUUGGAGUCUGCAACUCGACUCCAUGAAGUUGGAAUCGCUAGUAAUCGCGGAUCAGCAUGCCGCGGUGAAUACGUUCCCGGGCCUUGUACACACCGCCCGUCAAGCCAUGAAAGGCGGUAGUACCCGAAGUCGCGUACCCAACCGUAAGGAGGGAAGCGCCGAA
rnacentral:rRNA from 1 species